AGAGUUUGAUCAUGGCUCAGAUUGAACGCUGGCGGCAGGCCUAACACAUGCAAGUCGAACGGUAACAGGAAGCAGCUUGCUGCUUCGCUGACGAGUGGCGGACGGGUGAGUAAUGUCUGGGAAACUGCCUGAUGGAGGGGGAUAACUACUGGAAACGGUGGCUAAUACCGCAUAACGUCGCAAGACCAAAGAGGGGGACCUUCGGGCCUCUUGCCAUCAGAUGUGCCCAGAUGGGAUUAGCUAGUUGGUGAGGUAACGGCUCACCAAGGCGACGAUCCCUAGCUGGUCUGAGAGGAUGACCAGCCACACUGGAACUGAGACACGGUCCAGACUCCUACGGGAGGCAGCAGUGGGGAAUAUUGCACAAUGGGCGCAAGCCUGAUGCAGCCAUGCCGCGUGUAUGAAGAAGGCCUUCGGGUUGUAAAGUACUUUCAGCGGGGAGGAAGGUGUUGUGGUUAAUAACCGCAGCAAUUGACGUUACCCGCAGAAGAAGCACCGGCUAACUCCGUGCCAGCAGCCGCGGUAAUACGGAGGGUGCAAGCGUUAAUCGGAAUUACUGGGCGUAAAGCGCACGCAGGCGGUCUGUCAAGUCGGAUGUGAAAUCCCCGGGCUCAACCUGGGAACUGCAUUCGAAACUGGCAGGCUUGAGUCUUGUAGAGGGGGGUAGAAUUCCAGGUGUAGCGGUGAAAUGCGUAGAGAUCUGGAGGAAUACCGGUGGCGAAGGCGGCCCCCUGGACAAAGACUGACGCUCAGGUGCGAAAGCGUGGGGAGCAAACAGGAUUAGAUACCCUGGUAGUCCACGCCGUAAACGAUGUCUACUUGGAGGUUGUGCCCUUGAGGCGUGGCUUCCGGAGCUAACGCGUUAAGUAGACCGCCUGGGGAGUACGGCCGCAAGGUUAAAACUCAAAUGAAUUGACGGGGGCCCGCACAAGCGGUGGAGCAUGUGGUUUAAUUCGAUGCAACGCGAAGAACCUUACCUGGUCUUGACAUCCACAGAACUUUCCAGAGAUGGAUUGGUGCCUUCGGGAACUGUGAGACAGGUGCUGCAUGGCUGUCGUCAGCUCGUGUUGUGAAAUGUUGGGUUAAGUCCCGCAACGAGCGCAACCCUUAUCC
rnacentral:rRNA from 1 species